rnacentral:ncRNA from 1 species
CGUUCAGGAAUUACCUUCAUCAUUAUCUACGUUAGUAGACGUAAGAAUGUAAUUAUCGA